rnacentral:rRNA from 1 species
AUCGAACGCUGGCGGCAGGCCUAACACAUGCAAGUCGAACGGGUGGCGGACGGGUGAGUAAUGUCUGGGAAACUGGCUGAUGGAGGGGGAUAACUACUGGAAACGGUAGCUAAUACCGCAUACCACCAGAUGUGGUCAGUUGGGAUUAGCUAGUUGGUGGGGUAACGGCUCACCAAGGCGACGAUCCCUAGCUGGUCUGAGAGGCUGAACAGCCACACUGGGACUGAGACACGGUCCAGACUCCUACGGGAGGCAGCAGUGGGGAAUAUUGCACAAUGGGCGAAAGCCUGAUGCAGCCAUGCCGCGUGAAUGAAGAAGGCCUUCGGGUUGUAAAAUACUUUCGGCGGAGAGGCGGUACCCGCAGAAGAAGCACCGGCUAACUCCGUGCCAGCAGCCGCGGUAAUAC